UGAAGAACGCAGCGAAAUGCGAUACGUAGUGUGAAUUGCAGAAUUCAGUGAAUCAUCGAAUCUUUGAACGCACAUUGCACCUCUCGGUAUUCCGGGAGGUAUGCCUGUUCGAGCGUCAUUUGUACCCUCAAGCUCUGCUUGGUGUUGGGUGUUUGUUCCGCCUCUGUGUGUGAACUCGCCUCAAAACAAUUGGCAGCCGGCGUACUUGUUUCGGAGCGCAGCACAUUUUGCGAUCCAGAUCAACGUACAGCGGCAUCCAAGAAGCCUUAUUUAACGCUCUUGACCUCGGAUCAGGUAGGGAUACCCGCUGAACUUAAGCAUAUCAAUAAGCGGAGGA
rnacentral:misc_RNA from 1 species